CCUGCCCCUAGAAGCAUUGCAGGUGUGGCUGCUGUGUCACAUGUGUGUCAGUAGGUGGCAUAGAGGAGGGAGGCUACAUCUGUGCUCAGUGUUCCGACCUAUGAACAUCUGAAUGAUUAGUAGCCUAACUUU